rnacentral:rRNA from 1 species
ACGGGAGGCAGCAGUGGGGAAUAUUGGGCAAUGGGGGAAACCCUGACCCAGCAACGCCGCGUGAAGGAAGAAGGCCUUCGGGUUGUAAACUUCUUUUACCAGGGACGAAGGACGUGACGGUACCUGGAGAAAAAGCAACGGCUAACUACGUGCCAGCAGCCGCGGUAAUACGUAGGUUGCAAGCGUUGUCCGGAAUUACUGGGUGUAAAGGGCGUGUAGGCGGAGAUGCAAGUUGGGAGUGAAAUCCAUGGGCUCAACCCAUGAACUGCUUUCGAAACUGCAUCCCUUGAGUAUCGGAGAGGCAAGCGGAAUUCCUAGUGUAGCGGUGAAAUGCGUAGAUAUUAGGAGGAACACCAGUGGCGAAGGCGGCUUGCUGGACGACAACUGACGCUGAGGCGCGAAAGCGUGGGGAGCAAACAGGAUUAGAUACCCUGGUA